CAGUCGCCACGGGAAUACGGAGGGUGCAAGCGUUAUCCGGAUUCACUGGGUUUAAAGGGUGCGUAGGCGGGCAGGUAAGUCAGUGGUGAAAUCUUCGAGCUUAACUCGGAAACUGCCGUUGAUACCAUCUGUCUUGAAUAACGUUGAGGUGAGCGGAAUAUGUCAUGUAGCGGUGAAAUGCUUAGAUAUGACAUAGAACACCGAUUGCGAAGGCAGCUCACUGAACGCUCAUUGACGCUGAGGCACGAAAGCGUGGGGAUCAAACAGGAUUAGAUACCCCAGUAGUCCCUGUCUCUUAUAC
rnacentral:rRNA from 1 species